rnacentral:rRNA from 1 species
UACGUAGGGUGCGAGCGUUGUCCGGAGUUACUGGGCGUAAAGAGCUCGUAGGCGGUUUGUCGCGUCGGCCGUGAAAUCCUGCUGCUUAACGGUGGGCUUGCGGUCGAUACGGGCAGGCUGGAGUUCGGUAGGGGAGAUCGGAAUUCCUGGUGUAGCGGUGAAAUGCGCAGAUAUCAGGAGGAACACCGGUGGCGAAGGCGGAUCUCUGGGCCGAUACUGACGCUGAGGAGCGAAAGCAUGGGGUGCGAACAGG